rnacentral:rRNA from 1 species
UACGGAGGGUGCAAGCGUUGUUCGGAAUUACUGGGCGUAAAGGGCUCGUAGGCGGCCAACUAAGUCAGACGUGAAAUCCCUCGGCUUAACCGGGGAACUGCAUCUGAUACUGGAUGGCUUGAGUUCGGGAGAGGGAUGCGGAAUUCCAGGUGUAGCGGUGAAAUGCGUAGAUAUCUGGAGGAACACCGGUGGCGAAGGCGGCAUCCUGGACCGACACUGACGCUGAGGAGCGAAAGCCAGGGGAGCAAACGGG